ensembl:lncRNA
AUGCUUAUGAUAGAACCACUCGUUCAUGUAAUCUUACUUAUACCAUGUUUAGUAUCUAUGAAUUCAUCUUCUGAUGAUCUGAACGUCUUUACAUUCACCAACGAUCCUUGGAUGUCAGCUGACCUCUCUCUUAGCUCUUCAUCAUCUUCAUCUGGGAGAAAACUCUCCCGACCACCACAGAGUCAGAAUAACAUCUUUUUGGAGUUCAUCACUCUUCAAAGUAGAAAGAAGGUGAUUGCGACUCUUACACCACCGAACCUCCAAACAAUCAAGACUUUCACCCGAGACUGCAUCCAGAUGCUUGUUCCAGGCCAGGGCAAUGUCUCAGCGGUUCCGAACACUAUGUGCUGUGUGACCGUGAUACUCUUCUUGAGGAUACUGAGGUUUCUAUUUCCUCACAGACCACCAAAAGAUAUAAUCCAAAAUAUAAAUCAGUUGAGAAAGCAAAGUCACUAG